rnacentral:rRNA from 1 species
GACGAACGCUAGCGGCGUGCCUAAUACAUGCAAGUCGAGCGAAUGAAUGGGAGCUUGCUCCUGUUCGUUAGCGGCGGACGGGUGAGUAACACGUGGGCAACCUGCCUGUAAGACUGGGAUAACUUCGGGAAACCGGAGCUAAUACCGGAUAGUUUCUUUCUUCACAUGAGGAAGGAUGGAAAGACGGCAUCUCGCUGUCACUUACAGAUGGGCCCGCGGCGCAUUAGGCAGUUGGUGAGGUAACGGCUCACCAAGGCGACGAUGCGUAGCCGACCUGAGAGGGUGAUCGGCCACACUGGGACUGAGACACGGCCCAGACUCCUACGGGAGGCAGCAGUAGGGAAUCUUCCGCAAUGGACGAAAGUCUGACGGAGCAACGCCGCGUGAGUGAAGAAGGUUUUCGGAUCGUAAAACUCUGUUGUCAGGGAAGAACAAGUACCAGAGUAACUGCUGGUACCUUGACGGUACCUGACCAGAAAGCCACGGCUAACUACGUGCCAGCAGCCGCGGUAAGAC